rnacentral:misc_RNA from 1 species
CUAAAAUGGCAAAUAAAGUGGGACCAAAAAAAAUUCUAAAACAAUACUUGAAAUGGAACAGAGAGAGUAUUCUCUAGCAAAAUUUUAUUUUUUUAAUAUUUGUUACAAUUAUUAUAAAGUAAGUACAAAAUAUUAACCCAUAUUAAUUUAGCAAUUUUAAAGUAGGCAGACAUUAACCCAUAUUAAUUUCAAACCAGGAAAGAAAAAUCCAGUUAAUCUUAGUUAGAUAGCAGAAAUAGUACAGUUAUACCU